UUGAAUUUUAAUGAAGAGUUUGGCUUGUAGCUGGCCCAUUCAUUUGGGCAUGUGCACACCAUCCUCUUUCAUCCCACACACACCUGUGAACCUGUGAGACAGAGAUGGGGAAUUUACUUGCUGCUUUUUGGAAUACAAAGGCAAUAGGUUAUUGGACCCCCCCUCUGUCUACUCAAUUAAUAUAAACUCAAUUUAUUUUAAAAACGAAUGUAAUGGAUGUAACACAUCUCAUAC
rnacentral:misc_RNA from 1 species